CAUGGUAGCUUGCUACCGAUGACGACCGGCGCACGGGUGCGCAACGCGUAUACAAUCUGCCCCCUACUGUGGGAUAGCCCAGAGAAAUUUGGAUUAAUACCACAUGGUACCAUAUUACGGCAUCGUAUUUAUGGUUAAAGGUUACGGUAGGGGAUGAGUAUGCGUCCCAUUAGUUAGUUGGUGAGGUAACGGCUCACCAAGACCGCGAUGGGUAGGGGCCCUGAGAGGGGGAUCCCCCACACUGGUACUGAGACACGGACCAGACUCCUACGGGAGGCAGCAGUGAGGAAUAUUGGACAAUGGGCGGGAGCCUGAUCCAGCCAUGCCGCGUGCAGGAAGAAUGCCCUAUGGGUAGUAAACUGCUUUUAUACGGGAAGAAAAAGGGCUACGUGUAGCCUACUGACGGUACCGUAAGAAUAAGGACCGGCUAACUCCGUGCCAGCAGCCGCGGUAAUACGGAGGGUCCGAGCGUUAUCCGGAAUUAUUGGGUUUAAAGGGUCCGUAGGCGGGCCGAUAAGUCAGGGGUGAAAGUUUGCAGCUCAACUGUAAAAUUGCCUUUGAUACUGUCGGUCUUGAGUUAUAGUGAAGUUGCCGGAAUAUGUAGUGUAGCGGUGAAAUGCAUAGAUAUUACAUAGAACACCGAUUGCGAAGGCAGGUGACUAACUAUAUACUGACGCUGAUGGACGAAAGCGUGGGGAGCGAACAGGAUUAGAUACCCUGGUAGUCCACGCCGUAAACGAUGGAUACUAGCUGUCCGGGUCCUUGAGACCUGGGCGGCCAAGCGAAAGUGAUAAGUAUCCCACCUGGG
rnacentral:rRNA from 1 species